AUCAUCGAGAUAGUGUGUGAGUGAUGAAGGAUGAGUGAUUGAAAGGGAAAAGAGAAAUCUGGAGUGUGUAGGACUGGGCACAGUUAGAUUCAGCCCGAUUUUCCCCUAAAUUCAAAACCAAAAUCAAUAUUGAUCAUCUAAUUCAAUCCAGUCCGAUUUUUCACUAAAACGCCUAAGAGAACCAGACCAGCCUAGACCAGUUUAUAUCCAGUUCGAUUUCUGGUUUUCCAGUUUGGACCAGCUCUUGAACCCAAUUGAUUAUUUAUUUAUUUAUUAUUUUUUAGAGUUUUAAGCCCAACUGAAAUUUUUAAAAUUUUUAGGCUUACAAAUUCACAAUUAGCCCAAUUCCCGUCCAAUCAUCCCACACUGAAUCUAGCAAACAUUAAAUUUAAAUUUACAACCCAAUAACAAAACAAAUACACAUAAUAGCAAAUAAAAUUACAAAAAAAAUACAGAAAUAACAUUCAAACUAUUCCAUCUUCCAGUGAAAACAAAAACAAAAAAUUGCUCCAUCUUCCCCUUGUUCCUUCUCAGAGCCCCCUUGGCGAGGCGUCUUCUUCAAACCUUCUUUAUUAAGAUCC
rnacentral:lncRNA from 1 species